CCGCCCUGAUUUGAAGCCAGCCCAAAGGGAGGACUUCAUGAAAUUGGGAAGUCCAUGCCAGUCAGCAGGAGACAAGAAACGGGGACUCUCGGUGCCUUCUACCCUCAGCCAGCGUCUUAGGCCGCCGGCAGGUGUGUGGAGGCUCAGGCGCUCCCAGGCAGAAGCGGCCCCGCCCUGAUUUGAAGCCAGCCCAAAGGGAGGACUUCAUGAAAUUGGGAAGUCCAUGCCAGUCAGCAGGAGACAAGAAACGGGGACUCUCGGUGCCUUCUACCCUCAGCCAGCGUCUUAGGCCGCCGGCAGGUGUGUGGAGGCUCAGGCGCUCCCAGGCAGAAGCGGCCCCGCCCUGAUUUGAAGCCAGCCCAAAGGGAGGACUUCAUGAAAUUGGGAAGUCCAUGCCAGUCAGCAGGAGACAAGAAACGGGGACUCUCGGUGCCUUCUACCCUCAGCCAGCGUCUUAGGCCGCCGGCAGGUGUGUGGAGGCUCAGGCGCUCCCAGGCAGAAGCGGCCCCGCCCUGAUUUGAAGCCAGCCCAAAGGGAGGACUUCAUGAAAUUGGGAAGUCCAUGCCAGUCAGCAGGAGACAAGAAACGGGGACUCUCGGUGCCUUCUACCCUCAGCCAGCGUCUUAGGCCGCCGGCAGGUGUGUGGAGGCUCAGGCGCUCCCAGGCUCUGCCACGGCAGAGCUAAAUCUGUUUUGACGUGUUUAAAAUCAGGUGGAGAUGUUCUCGCAAGGGUACCUUCACGGUCAACGGUGCGGAAGCGGCGCACGGGUUUGGCGUCGGCCGUGUGGCUAAAGACGGGCGGAGGCGCGGCUGGACCGGUUGUCCGGAGCUGACGGGACGAGCGCCGGCGGUCUGUGGUGUAUGCCUGGCCUGGGGUGGGCCUGGGACACGACCCUUUGAGCU